rnacentral:rRNA from 1 species
GUUAAAACUCAAAUGAAUUGACGGGGGCCCGCACAAGCGGUGGAGCAUGUGGUUUAAUUCGAUGCAACGCGAAGAACCUUACCUGGUCUUGACAUCCACAGAACUUUCCAGAGAUGGAUUGGUGCCUUCGGGAACUGUGAGACAGGUGCUGCAUGGCUGUCGUCAGCUCGUGUUGUGAAAUGUUGGGUUAAGUCCCGCAACGAGCGCAACCCUUAUCCUUUGUUGCCAGCGGUUAGGCCGGGA